AGAUCUGUAAGCUCAAACGGUAGAGCUCUCGUUAUGAGAGGAUGGUGGUUCGAAUCCACCCAGAUCUG
rnacentral:tRNA from 1 species